GGCUGGCACAAAAUUAUAAUUUGUGCAGCGAAUGGUAAAAAAAGUGAUUAUUCAGUCUGCAUUGAACAGCGACAGUAGAUUGCUCGAGCAGUUUCUGUUUCCGUUCUUCGAUUUGUGGUUACUUGGUGGACCUUUCUUCGUCGAGGAAGGCUGUAAAGAUAAUUCACGAACUUCAGAGACCAACUGAAAACGGAGUUCCUUUCAUUCGAAAGCCAUGUGGUGUUUUGCAACAGCGGACACGACACAUACAAUGGCGGUGAAUUGAAGAAAAGUAUUUGGGAUUUUCAAGCAACAGAGGCAGGGGCGGGAACAUGAAAUCAAACGCCACACAACCUUCUGAUAGACGUGUGCACAAAGAGUCGGCUCCCACACCCGCUGCGUUGAAACGACAACCUGUCAAUCAGCUGCUAAAUAGACCAAUCAAAUUCUGGAAAACGCUAUCAGAUCUUCUUGUUGCCUGGGCGACGAAGCUGUACAGUAAAGGGAUGACGUAAUGGACUUGACAUCCGGGAAAGUGGUCAAACCGGUUUGACAAGUUUAUGUGCAGGUGUUAUUGGCAGUACUCGUGACGUUUACUAAUCCACUUAUGAUAACACCUUGUGAUUGGUUGGAUGCCGUUGGGUAAUUGGCGGCAGGCAGUAAAAGACUCGAUAAACAAUCAGUAAUCUUUCCUCGCCUUGCCACAAACAAAAAGUACCGAAGUAGUUGAACUGUUACCACUUGGCAAUGAUGCAGGAAAGAGGUGCUGCACCCCUGGCAGCCCAGAUGGUACUACUUGUCGUUUUCAUCACAGAAAACUCAUCACUUACUUUAGAAAGGGUGAUUCCCCUUUGAAAUAAAAAGCUUCAGUGUUCAUGAUCAUGAGGGGUGUACAUGGGCCAUCCCAACUUGGUAGAUUCUUUGCACCCAACCCCAGCCAAAUUGUACCCUUCUGCAGCCUUCGGUAUUGCUACUACAUGAUUUAAAGUGGUUGUACACAUUUUUGUGAAAACUUGGUGAAUGUCAAAAUUUUGUUACAAAUGCAGGAAAAUUGCACGGUAAGUGACCCGGAAAAAGACGAGCCGGUCAAUUUUGUCAAUUGACAGGUGAGGAUUUUCGAAAUGCUUCAAUUGUUUCUCAAAACGAAAGACUUGUAUCCCUCAGUAAACUGUACUGUCGCACGAGAUGUACUUUCACGUCACAUGUAUAAACUCUCCGUGGAAUUCGAAAACUUAAUUUAUGCGAGGACCAGAGAACGUUGUCAAUAUGCAAUUGUUUGCUUUCAAUAAGUCAUUAUACGCACGAUUGAUCAGUGAAUGUUCAUUGGAUACUUAACCACUAAAAACAACAAUGCUUGUCAAUUUCAAUUACUUUUGUUUGGGAUUUGUAAAUGAUAUGGCUUUCCGUAUUAAAUUUGAAAUGUCAAUCCAAA